CUUGAUCGAGCCCAGCAGGGCGGGCCGAUCCGCGGCGCGGUCCCGGCCGUAGGUCGCCAGCAGCGCCUGCGCCUC
rnacentral:antisense_RNA from 1 species